AAAGACCAGCUAAGAAUGCCGGUCCAUGGAGAAUUCUUUCACAGCGAGUGCAAAGCUGCUUCACUUGUCAUGACAGCGUCAUUUCUCAGGUUCUAAUAUGACCUUAGCUGAGAGGCACUGUGGCCUGGGGCAGAGUGGACUUCUGCCUGAGUGUCGUUUCCACUCUCUGAGCCUCAGUUUCUCGAGGAAGUCCAGCACCACUGUGGAAAGCACAGAGUGAUCGCUUCAAAGGAGCCCAUUCCAAUGUCACAGCACAGAGACACUGGGUCAGCUCUGACAACCCUAGGGGCCAUCAGACUCCUAGGUUCCAUGGAGUCACCAGAGGGACAACAUUUUUCUUGGAUCAGUGAAGCAACUGGUGCCUUCCAUCUAAGGUAUCUGGCCAGGGAAAGUUGGCCUGGGAGAAAGUGACCUCAGAACGCUAGGGCAGGAGAGUGGCUGCCACAUGGGCACGCACCAGUGACUAUACACAUGAGAGCAUGUGCCAAGGGGCUGGCACCGGAGUAGCAGAAGCUGAGGGGAGGCUUGAGUUUGUGUCAGAAAAACCCCUCCACCACCUCGUUGCCCAGCAGGGAGUUGACCGGAUGGCUUUGUGAAGGUGGAGUCAGCUUUUGUGGUAGACAGGGGAGAAUCGUUCAGCGAGGUGGCCUGGGGUGAUGGACGAAGGCCGGGCAGAAGGAGGUAUCUUCCCAGGGGCAGGCAAUGACAGGUGUGGAGUAUUUACAAACAAGAAGAAAAUCAACU